CCUCUCUAUCUCUCCAACCUACUCUCUCUAACCUAUAGAGCACCAGCACCACCCACCCCCAAAAGUUUCACCUCAUAAAGCUCAAAUUUUCAAAACCCAUAUAGUAAUUAACAAACAUGAAUUAAAAUCAAAUGCAGAAUAAAUAAUAAACAAAUAAAACCUUAUGUUUUUCCCACUGGGCUUUUUCUGGGCAAUAUGAUUAUCAGCUUUACAAAUAAAACAGCUAUCACUGGGUCUCAUUCCGGGUAUUCUAAGCGGGUGUUUUUUGCUACUGAAUCUUUUGGGUUUACUCGGGUCAUUGGGAUCUGAUUUCUUGCUCUUGAACUUGCUAUUCUUUUUCUUCUUCUUAUUCGGGUCCUUUGUGGCUGUUGGCUCAGGUUUGAGGAAGAGUUCCGGGUGCUCUUGCUUUAAUUUUUUGCGAGCUAAUUUCUGCCAUUUGCACACCAUUUUUGUACGGAAAAGAAAGGAUGGUGAAGUUGAAGGAAGGAAGGAGGCAAAGAGAAAACCCUGCAGGGUUCGGAUGUUGGGGAAAAAGGCGUGUUUUUUACGAAGCCCGUAAUUAAAUAAAGCCCUAGUGCUGGAAAAAAAGGUUUGGGCCAGAAACCGACCCGGUAAGAAAACCGAUUUUAGACCAGUCAAGACAAGAUAUGAAAGACCGAAGAAGGAGGCAAACUAGACAAGAUAGAGAUUUUGGACUAAGUGGGAGCCGACAAGAUAAAGAGUAACUUUGUGUCCCUUAAAACCAAUUUGAUUAUCGUUUAAUGGCUUGAAAGAAACCAAACAAUUUACUA